rnacentral:siRNA from 1 species
UAGAAUGAUUGUCCUUGAUCCUA